rnacentral:rRNA from 2 species
UACGUAGGGGGCGAGCGUUGUCCGGAUUUAUUGGGCGUAAAGCGCGCGCAGGCGGUUCGUUAAGUCCGUUGUGAAAGCUCCCGGCUCAACUGGGAGAGGUCUUCGGAUACUGGCGAACUCGAGGGAGGCAGAGGAAGGUGGAAUUCCGGGUGUAGUGGUGAAAUGCGUAGAGAUCCGGAGGAACACCAGUGGCGAAGGCGGCCUUCUGGGCCUUUCCUGACGCUGAGGCGCGAAAGCGUGGGGAGCGAACCGG